GAUGAACGCUGGCGGCGUGCCUAAUACAUGCAAGUCGAGCGAACGGACGAGAAGCUUGCUUCUCUGAUGUUAGCGGCGGACGGGUGAGUAACACGUGGAUAACCUACCUAUAAGACUGGGAUAACUUCGGGAAACCGGAGCUAAUACCGGAUAAUAUUUUGAACCGCAUGGUUCAAAAGUGAAAGACGGUCUUGCUGUCACUUAUAGAUGGAUCCGCGCUGCAUUAGCUAGUUGGUAAGGUAACGGCUUACCAAGGCAACGAUGCAUAGCCGACCUGAGAGGGUGAUCGGCCACACUGGAACUGAGACACGGUCCAGACUCCUACGGGAGGCAGCAGUAGGGAAUCUUCCGCAAUGGGCGAAAGCCUGACGGAGCAACGCCGCGUGAGUGAUGAAGGUCUUCGGAUCGUAAAACUCUGUUAUUAGGGAAGAACAUAUGUGUAAGUAACUGUGCACAUCUUGACGGUACCUAAUCAGAAAGCCACGGCUAACUACGUGCCAGCAGCCGCGGUAAUACGUAGGUGGGGCAGCGUAUCCGGAAUUUAUGGGCGUAAAGCGCGCGUAGCGGUUUUUUAAGUCUGAUGUGAAAGCCCACGGCUCAACCGUGGAGGGUCAUUGGAAACUGGAAAACUUGAGUGCAGAAGAGGAAAGUGGAAUUCCAUGUGUAGCGGUGAAAUGCGCAGAGAUAUGGAGGAACACCAGUGGCGAAGGCGACUUUCUGGUCUGUAACUGACGCUGAUGUGCGAAAGCGUGGGGAUCAAACAGGAUUAGAUACCCUGGUAGUCCACGCCGUAAACGAUGAGUGCUAAGUGUUAGGGGGUUUCCGCCCCUUAGUGCUGCAGCUAACGCAUUAAGCACUCCGCCUGGGGAGUACGACCGCAAGGUUGAAACUCAAAGGAAUUGACGGGGACCCGCACAAGCGGUGGAGCAUGUGGUUUAAUUCGAAGCAACGCGAAGAACCUUACCAAAUCUUGACAUCCUUUGACAACUCUAGAGAUAGAGCCUUCCCCUUCGGGGGACAAAGUGACAGGUGGUGCAUGGUUGUCGUCAGCUCGUGUCGUGAGAUGUUGGGUUAAGUCCCGCAACGAGCGCAACCCUUAAGCUUAGUUGCCAUCAUUAAGUUGGGCACUCUAAGUUGACUGCCGGUGACAAACCGGAGGAAGGUGGGGAUGACGUCAAAUCAUCAUGCCCCUUAUGAUUUGGGCUACACACGUGCUACAAUGGACAAUACAAAGGGCAGCGAAACCGCGAGGUCAAGCAAAUCCCAUAAAGUUGUUCUCAGUUCGGAUUGUAGUCUGCAACUCGACUACAUGAAGCUGGAAUCGCUAGUAAUCGUAGAUCAGCAUGCUACGGUGAAUACGAUCCCGGGUCU
rnacentral:rRNA from 1 species